rnacentral:rRNA from 1 species
AUUGAACGCUGGCGGCAGGCCUAACACAUGCAAGUCGAGCGGACGAAGGGAGCUUGCUCCUGGAUUCAGCGGCGGACGGGUGAGUAAUGCCUAGGAAUCUGCCUGGUAGUGGGGGAUAACGUCCGGAAACGGGCGCUAAUACCGCAUACGUCCUGAGGGAGAAAGUGGGGGAUCUUCGGACCUCACGCUAUCAGAUGAGCCUAGGUCGGAUUAGCUAGUUGGUGGGGUAAAGGCCUACCAAGGCGACGAUCCGUAACUGGUCUGAGAGGAUGAUCAGUCACACCUGGACAUGGGAAACGGUCCAACCCCCUAGGGGGGGCAGGAGGGGGAAAAUUUGGAAAAGGGGGCAAAGCCUGAUCCAGCCAUGCCGGGGGGGGGAAGAAGGUCUUGGGUUUGUAAAGCCCUUUAAGUUGGGAGGAAGGGCAGUAAGUUAAAACCUUGCUUUUUUGACUUUACCAACAGAAUAAGCACCGGCUAACUUCGU